GUCUACGAUACAAAGAAAAUAAAGGAAGAAGAAGAAGAAGAAAUCCAUUCUUUCUGUUUUUGUGUGUGUUUGUGCAUCUAUUUAUAUAUGUUGUGUCUCGAUCAUUCUAA
rnacentral:ribozyme from 12 species